rnacentral:rRNA from 1 species
CSRAGUUUGAUCCUGGCUCAGAGCGAACGCUGGCGGCMUGCUUAACACAUGCAAGUCGCACGGUCGGGGCAACCCGGCAGUGGCGGACGGGUGAGUAACGCGUAGGAAUCUAUCUCUGGGUGGGGGACAACCGUGGGAAACUACGGCUAAUACCGCAUGAUASCKGRGGGUCAAAGGCGCAAGUCSCCUGGAGAGGAGCCUGCGUACGAUUAGCUUGUUGGUGGGGUAAAGGCCUACCAAGGCGACRAUCGUUAGCUGGUCUGAGAGGAUGAUCAGCCACMCUGGGACUGARACACGGCCCAGACUCCUACGGGAGGCAGCAGUGGGGAAUAUUGGACAAUGGGCGAAAGCCUGAUCCAGCAAUGCCGCGUGGGUGAAGAAGGUCUUCGGAUUGUAAAGCCCUUUCGGCGGGGACGAUGAUGACGGUACCCGCAGAAGAAGCCCCGGCUAACUUCGUGCSAGCAGCCGCGGUAAUAC